GCCUGGCUGGCUCAGUUGGCAGAGCAUGCGACUUUUGAUCUCUGGGACGUGAGUUCAAGCCCCACGCUGGGCU